rnacentral:rRNA from 1 species
UACGUAGGGGGCAAGCGUUGUCCGGAUUUAUUGGGCGUAAAGAGCGUGUAGGCGGCCCGAUAAGUCCGCUGUGAAAGUCCAGGGCUCAACCCUGGAAUGCCAGUGGAAACUGUCGGGCUGGAGUCCGGAAGAGGCGAGUGGAAUUCCUGGUGUAGCGGUGAAAUGCGCAGAUAUCAGGAGGAACACCGGUGGCGAAGGCGGCAUCCUGGACCAAUAUUGACGCUGAGGAGCGAAAGCCAGGGGAGCAAACGGG